ensembl:lncRNA
AUGCAAGUUGUUUCUGAGAUAAGCAGUUUUCUUUCCUGUUUGUGCACAGCCACCUUCAAGUGUAGAUGCAGAAGGAGAUCAAUGCACACCACAUCGCAACAGACAAGACAAGCCCAAAGAAUCUUUCCACCAUUUAAAAAUAUCAUGGAUCAGACUCCAGACAUUUCCACAGACCACAAGAGAGAGAAGCAGUCAAAAGCAUCAUCGAACAUCCCUAAGAAUCUGCCAUUGUUUGUAAUUCUAAUGCAUGAUUUUUUACAAAAAAUUCCUGUUUUCAGCUCUUUCCCUAUUAGUCUUUCGUUAAUUGGAUUUGAGGAGUUGAUGGAGCUAAAAGUUUUUGUAUGCCCAUGCAGACAUGAUCUGAAUAUAUGGCUAACAACAUCUAUUUUACUUAGUCCUCCUUUUUUUAUUUUUGCUUUAAUGUAUUUUGUUUUAAGACCUUUUAAACAUGAUUGGUUUCAUUGUUCUCAAAGAGAGAAUGAUACUCGGCAGAACUGGCCUAAAGCUUUAGCACAUUGUCUGAUGCCAUCUGCAAUGUGGAUCAUCAUCUUGUUACUUGAUGGUGAUUAUAUUGCUUGUGCCAUGACAGACUGGAAGGGAGUUUAUGUGUUUGAUGUUGAGCUCAACAGGUCGUGGUGUAAACCCAAUGAAGACAUGCGAAAUGCGGCAGAGCUCCGAGAUUUGAAUCGCCAGUAUAUUUAUAAAUCACAGAUUUUAGGUUAUUCCGCAAGCUUUAUCUUAAGUGUAAUAACAAUAACCUUAAUGGUUAUUUUUGACUGCCACAUAAGUGGGAGAUGUGACUUCUGCCCAAAAUGCUGCAGACCAACAGCAGAGAUACAGACUGAGAAACAAGGUUCUGCUACAAUGGGACAGGAACUGCAAGGGUCAGGGAGUUCUGCUACAAUGGGACAGGAACUGCAAGGGUUAGGGAGUUCUGCUACAAUGGGACAGCAAGAUUCAAGGAGUUCUGCCUCAGUGAGACAUAAACUACAAGGGGCAGAGGGUUUUGCUGCAGUGUCAUGGCAAUUAGAGAGUUCUGAUAUAGUGCGACAAGGAAAUAAAGGGUUAGGAAGAUCUGCUCUAGCAGGACAUGGACAACAAAUGUCAGGGAGUUCUGCUCCAAUGGGUUCUAUUACAAAAACACCGGAACGGCAAAUGCUACUGCAAUUUCCAUAGCAACUUAAAAAAAAAAAAAAAGUGAAAGGCCAUCUACUAACAACAGAGCAGUUAUUAACAAAUUGAUUUCUCUCUAUCUUUAUUAAACAAAACUAUCCUAUGCCAUCAGAUACCAAAUGUGACACACAAGUACAUUAAACUGUUUUGUCAGAAAGAAGAAAGGAUGAUCAAGAUCCUUCAGAAGCUGCAGAAACUUUGCAUAGUUGAAUAUUUAUAUUUUGUAAUGAAUUGUAUUAGAUAAACUUCUGAACUUCAGAUAAAUAUAGGCAGAUAUUUUGCAUGUGCAAAUUUUUUAAAGCACAUCUCUUUUAAUGGGAAAAUACCUUUUUGUGAAAUGAUUUGCUUGGAAUAGUCUGUUUCUGUAAAGCAUGUUUCGAUGGAGGGGGGAAAAAAAAAGGAUAGGGCCGGUUCUAGACAUUUGGAGGCCCAAGGCAAAAUUCAUGUUGGAGCGCCCCCACCCACAAUAAAAAGCACUUGAAACAAAUAUGAUUCCUAACC